UACGGAGGGUGCGAACGUUAAUCGGAAUCACUGGGCGUAAAGCGUGCGCAGGCGGUGAUGUAAGACAGAUGUGAAAUCCCCGGGCUCAACCUGGGAACUGCAUUUGUGACUGCAUCGCUGGAGUACGGCAGAGGGGGAUGGAAUUCCGCGUGUAGCAGUGAAAUGCGUAGAUAUGCGGAGGAACACCGAUGGCGAAGGCAAUCCCCUGGGCCUGUACUGACGCUCAUGCACGAAAGCGUGGGGAGCAAACAGG
rnacentral:rRNA from 1 species